CAGAGGCCUUGUCUCCAGAUUCAGCCACACUGCCAACCAGGACUUCAACAUAUGAAUAUGGAGGAUACUCCAACAUUUAGUACAAAACCUACACCUAAAAAAAUGGUGUUACCCUUGUAUGGGAGAUGACAGAGGAUGUCAUAUAUCACAAACAAACAAAAACACUACGCUGCUGGCCC